UUCAACGUCAGGUAAACAGACCACGAUUCGUCAAGUUCUGAGGUUGUUGUUGUUUUUUUUAAUUGUUAAAACGAAUAAGUUUUGGAUUCGGAGACGUUCACACAUUUACAACCAGGCGGACACAAGCGGACUGGACCACACUAACUGAUAAUUUCCUCCUACACUCAAGAGGAACGCAGCAGGUAUGACCCAGUCUGCCAGGACGGGACUUCAGCCUCCUCAAAAGACUGCACACACCAAUGAGAACACUCCUGUGGAAGGUAAGAUGAAGAUCCUGUCAUUCAAAAGGGAACCAGGUUGCCCUAAGAAGACUGAACUAUCUGUGGCCAGCGAAAUAAUCUUUUGUCCCAAGUCACCUGGUCAGCCCAAAAAUCAAACUGUACAAACUGUAAUUGACUUUCCUACAAGUCGAAUUACCAUAAACAAAAGAGGAUGCCCUAAAGAGAAACGUUUGCAAACUCUAGAGGAAUAUCCCCUGAAAAACAAAAGGAACUGUCCCAAAAGGGGACCUGGGUGACCAUUUACACCCCAAUAAGGGACCCCCUCUUGUUAAAAACUUCAUUAAGCCUGCAAAAAGAUGUGGACACACUAAAAAGAAAGCAUUACAAACUGGGGGAGAAAUUCCCCUGAAAAACCAAAUUAAGUGCACCAAAAAGGGACCAGGGUGACCCAAGAAAGAUACCUUACAGCGCCGUGAGGGACACGCCUUUUAUUAACAACAUGAUCAGGUCUGCAAAAAGAGGACGAGGACGCCCCAUAAAUUGCUCUGGACAAAAUGGAGAAGAGUUAAAAAAUGAAUAGGAGAACAUGAGUUGGAAUGAUGUUGACUGCAAACAAGUCAAAGAGGAGCCACCAGACCCUCAGAUGCAUGAAAUCUGCCACAUGACAAGGUUUUGGAAUUGGUAAUUCGAAGGCCUGGAGGCAUUUGUUAAAGGAGAUUCUGGGCCAUGCUUAACUGGACACUGAGGCAACACCACAAGCUGAGGCAACAGGAUGCAACACAACCUUACAUCUACAGGACACUCCAGAGUUUCACCCUUGUCUGUACUGCACUGUCCACUUCACCGAGCUUGGCUUCCUGCAGGAGAAUUUCAGGUAUCAUCACUGAAAUGAGCACUAUGGUAUAGUUAGCCAAAUGUCCUCUAGAUAUCAGUCCUUAAAGUACUCUCCAGUACUUAUCUGUCCUCAGUGCAGUCCUAUUUCCCAGACUUUGAUGUACUUCACAGUCCAUAAGAAACUCCUCUGCCCAGGAAACUCCAUAAAUUUCCAGUCUGUACGCAGCUUUAAUUACCUGAAGAACCUGAAGAAUCACUGUCAGAGUUGGCAACAUAUCAGUUCAUAUCUUCAAGGGGCACAUCCAAUGCUCGGACUGUAGAGGGGGUUUCUGUAAGUCCAGGGGACAGGGGACUCAUAUGAAUAUACACUCAAGAUUCCAGCCGUAUGAGUGUGAUGUGCACAAAAAAAACAAAAUCUCUGAGAUGAGCCCUCUGCAUAAACAGGUUUGCAUGCAUACAAGUGAGAAACGUUACAACUGCUCCAAAUGUGGGAAGCCCUUUGCAUUCAGGGGAUCUUUAAGCAAACAAAAACAAACCCAUUACCAAUCUGGGGAAGGCUUCAGUUGUACAUGAUGUGUUAAGAGCUUCAUCAGCAAGGAUCCAUCUGAAGAUGAGUCAGUGUGCUGAAUCUGGGCUAAGUGUGGCCAGCUUGCAGGAACUGCAGGUACAUGCAAAACAACACACUGGAGAAAAGCUGCAAGUUGUGCAACAACAGAUUCAAAUACAGGGAUCACAUUACAACCACCCAUGUAUCUAUCCACACUGAUGGCCAUACAAGUUGAGUAGAAAUACGUGCAAAACAUUUCCCUACAUAGUGGCAUAGUUCACUAAUAGUUUAACUGGUUGAAUAAUAAAUAAAUAAUUAACCCAUAAGGCAUUUAUUGCAAAGCAAUAAUGAAGAAAUUCCAUUGAUAGUUCUUCAGCAGUUUGUUUAUUCCUUUUUUACUGAGGCUUACUGUUUACAAAUGAUUCACUACAAACACAAAGAAGCAUGUUUUUAUAGAAUACAGCAUAUAUAAAAAACUGUACAGUUAGAUUUGUUGAAAAAGGUUUUGUACACUGGAAGGUUACUUAUGUCCGUGAGAUAUGGAAAUAAAACAAGUUUUAGUUGCAGCAUAUUUACAUGAUCCUUUACC